UUGGGAUUGUAGCGUGGGAAAAUUAGAAGAACACUCAUCUCCGCUAACACCAUCUAACUCAAAUCCAUCAACCCCGGACAUACCAAUAACUUGUCCAAACUUCACAAAUUACAUGCACGGUUACUAUGGACCAGUGCCUGCGUGGUCACCGGCUUUUCUGCCAUAUCCAAAUAGCAACUAAUAUCCAAGCAACAUUCAGACUAUUCCAGACAGUUCAGCUUUUGACAUUAGUGGAACGUAGCUCCGGGAAGCAAUCAUUGGGACUCAAG